UAUAGAGGGGGCAAGCGUUGUUCGGAAUUACUGGGCGUAAAGGGCUCGUAGGCGGCCAACUAAGUCAGACGUGAAAUCCCUCGGCUUAACCGGGGAACUGCGUCUGAUACUGGAUGGCUUGAGAUUGGGAGAGGGAUGCGGAAUUCCAGGUGUAGCGGUGAAAUGCGUAGAUAUCUGGAGGAACACCGGUGGCGAAGGCGGCAUCCUGGACCAACACUGACGCUGAGGAGCGAAAGCCAGGGGAGCAAACGGG
rnacentral:rRNA from 1 species